ACCUGGCUGGCUCAGCCAACAGAGUAUGUAACUCUUAAUCUCAAAGUUGUGAGUUCAAGCCCCAUGUUGGGUA
rnacentral:tRNA from 1 species